rnacentral:rRNA from 1 species
GGGUCAGUAGGUUGGUCGUGCCACCGGUACGUACUGGUCUCACUGAUUCCUCCUUCCUGAAGAACCGUAAUGCCAUUGAUAUGGCGUUGCGGGGAAACAGGACUGUUACUUUGAAAAAAUUAGAGUGUUUAAAGCAAGCUAACGCUUGAAUACAUUAGCAUGGAAUAAUGAAAUAGGACGAUCGAUCCUAUUUUGUUGGUUUCUAGGAUUGACGUA